UCUCUUGAGAGCGGCGGACGGGUGAGUAAUGCCUAGGAAUCUGCCUGGUAGUGGGGGAUAACGUUCGGAAACGGACGCUAAUACCGCAUACGUCCUACGGGAGAAAGCAGGGGACCUUCGGGCCUUGCGCUAUCAGAUGAGCCUAGGUCGGAUUAGCUAGUUGGUGAGGUAAUGGCUCACCAAGGCGACGAUCCGUAACUGGUCUGAGAGGAUGAUCAGUCACACUGGAGCUGAGACACGGUCCAGACUCCUACGGGAGGCAGCAGUGGGGAAUAUUGGACAGUGGGCGAAAGCCUGAUCCAGCCAUGCCGCGUGUGUGAAGAAGGUCUUCGGAUUGUAAAGCACUUUAAGUUGGGAGGAAGGGUUGUAGAUUAAUACUCUGCAAUUUUGACGUUACCGACAGAAUAAGCACCGGCUAACUCUGUGCCAGCAGCCGCGGUAAUACAGAGGGUGCAAGCGUUAAUCGGAAUUACUGGGCGUAAAGCGCGCGUAGGUGGUUUGUUAAGUUGGAUGUGAAAUCCCCGGGCUCAACCUGGGAACUGCAUUCAAAACUGACUGACUAGAGUAUGGUAGAGGGUGGUGGAAUUUCCUGUGUAGCGGUGAAAUGCGUAGAUAUAGGAAGGAACACCAGUGGCGAAGGCGACCACCUGGACUAAUACUGACACUGAGGUGCGAAAGCGUGGGGAGCAAACAGGAUUAGAUACCCUGGUAGUCCACGCCGUAAACGAUGUCAACUAGCCGUUGGAAGCCUUG
rnacentral:rRNA from 1 species